rnacentral:rRNA from 1 species
GACGAACGCUGGCGGCGUGCCUAACACAUGCAAGUCAACUUGACUGAAGGAGCAAUCUGACAGUAGAGUGGCGCAAGGGUGCGUAACGCGUAAGUAACUUGCCCAAGGUAAGGAAUAACGUCGAGAAAUCGGCGCUAAUACCUCAUAAUGCAGCGGAUCCGCAUGGAUAUGUUGUUAAAGGUUUACCGCCUUGGGAUAGGCUUGCGUCUGAUUAGCUAGUUGGUGUGGUAACGGCACACCAAGGCUACGAUCAGUAACUGGUCUGAGAGGAUGAUCAGUCACACUGGAACUGAGACACGGUCCAGACUCCUACGGGAGGCAGCAGUGAGGAAUAUUGGGCAAUGCUCGAAAGAGUGACCCAGCAACGCCGCGUGGAGGAUGAAGGUAUUCUAUAUCGUAAACUCCUGUGAGAGCAGACGAAAGACAGAUUAUUAAUCUGGAUGACUGUAUGCUCAGAGGAAGCCCGG